rnacentral:rRNA from 1 species
UACGUAGGCAGCGAGCGUUGUUCGGAGUUACUGGGCGUAAAGGGUGUGUAGGCGGUUGUUUAAGUUUGGUGUGAAAUCUCCCGGCUCAACUGGGAGGGUGCGCCGAAUACUGAAUGACUUCGAGUCCGGGAGAGGCGAGUGGAAUUCCCAGUGUAGCGGUGAAAUGCGUAGAUAUUGGGAGGAACACCAGUGGCGAAGGCGGCUCGCUGGACCGGAACUGACGCUGAGGCGCGAAAGCGUGGGGAGCAAACAGG